GUCGUCAACAAGGUUUCCGUAGGUGGAACCUGCGGAAGGAUCAUUACCUAGAUUGUAGGCUUUGCCUGCUAUCUCUUACCCAUGUCUUUUGAGUACCUUCGUUUCCUCGGCGGGUCCGCCCGCCGAUUGGACAAUUUAAACCAUUUGCAGUUGCAAUCAGCGUCUGAAAAAACUUAAUAGUUACAACUUUCAACAACGGAUCUCUUGGUUCUGGCAUCGAUGAAGAACGCAGCGAAAUGCGAUAAGUAGUGUGAAUUGCAGAAUUCAGUGAAUCAUCGAAUCUUUGAACGCACAUUGCGCCCCUUGGUAUUCCAUGGGGCAUGCCUGUUCGAGCGUCAUUUGUACCUUCAAGCUCUGCUUGGUGUUGGGUGUUUGUCUCGCCUCUGCGCGCAGACUCGCCUCAAAACAAUUGGCAGCCGGCGUAUUGAUUUCGGAGCGCAGUACAUCUCGCGCUUUGCACUCAUAACGACGACGUCCAAAAGUACAUUUUUACACUCUUGACCUCGGAUCAGUAGGGAUACCCGCUGAACUUAAGCAUAUCAAUAAGCCGGAAG
rnacentral:rRNA from 1 species